rnacentral:rRNA from 1 species
GACGAACGCUGGCGGCGUGCUUAACACAUGCAAGUCGAACGAUGAAGCCGGAGCUUGCUCUGGUGAAUUAGUGGCGAACGGGUGAGUAACACGUGAGUAACCUGCCCUUGACUCUGGGAUAACUGCGGGAAACUGUAGCUAAUACCGGAUACGACCCUCGGAGGCAUCUCCUGGGGGUGGAAAGAAUUUCGGUCGAGGAUGGACUCGCGGCCUAUCAGCUAGGUGGUGAGGUAAAGGCUCACCAAGGCGACGACGGGUAGCCGGCCUGAGAGGGUGACCGGCCACACUGGGACUGAGACACGGCCCAGACUCCUACGGGAGGCAGCAGUGGGGAAUAUUGCACAAUGGGCGCAAGCCUGAUGCAGCAACGCCGCGUGAGGGAUGACGGCCUUCGGGUUGUAAACCUCUUUUAGCAGGGAAGAAGCGAAAGUGACGGUACCUGCAGAAAAAGCACCGGCUAACUACGUGCCAGCAGCCGCCGUAA